rnacentral:rRNA from 1 species
CACAUGACUCUCGGCAACGGAUAUCUCGGCUCUUGCAUCGAUGAAGAACGUAGCAAAAUGCGAUACCUGGUGUGAAUUGCAGAAUCCCGUGAACCAUCGAGUUUUUGAACGCAAGUUGCGCCCAAGGCCGUUUGGUCGAGGGCACGUCUGCCUGGGCGUCACGC